AAGCAGGAUUCAAACUACAAUAUAGCCGUUAAGUGAUGGCUGUCAUUCCUCCUGCUCAAAAUAAAGGUGUUUCUUAACUACACCUGUCUGCUAUACUCCUAUCACAGCCAGGGAUGUUUGGUCUCAUACAU